rnacentral:tRNA from 1 species
GCUUAGAUAGCUUAAAAUGAGAGCAAAACAUUGAAGAUGUUGGGGUGAUUAUAUGAAUCUUUAGGCA